GAUGAACGCUGGCGGCGUGCCUAAUACAUGCAAGUCGAGCGAACAGAUGAGGAGCUUGCUCCUCUGACGUUAGCGGCGGACGGGUGAGUAACACGUGGAUAACCUACCUAUAAGACUGGGAUAACUUCGGGAAACCGGAGCUAAUACCGGAUAAUAUAUUGAACCGCAUGGUUCAAUAGUGAAAGACGGUUUUGCUGUCACUUAUAGAUGGAUCCGCGCCGCAUAGCUAGUUGGUAAGGUAACGGCUUACCAAGGCGACGAUGCGUAGCCGACCUGAGAGGGUGAUCGGCCACACUGGAACUGAGACACGGUCCAGACUCCUACGGGAGGCAGCAGUAGGGAAUCUUCCGCAAUGGGCGAAAGCCUGACGGAGCAACGCCGCGUGAGUGAUGAAGGUCUUCGGAUCGUAAAACUCUGUUAUUAGGGAAGAACAAAUGUGUAAGUAACUAUGCACGUCUUGACGGUACCUAAUCAGAAAGCCACGGCUAACUACGUG
rnacentral:rRNA from 1 species